rnacentral:lncRNA from 1 species
GGAGGAACUACGCGUAACUUCAUGUUUUCCUAGCUACGCUGGAAAAGGGGUCCAGACAGCUGGUUCGGAACGUUUGAAACAAAGGCGGCAAUACAGUCGUAUGAGGAAGAACCAGAAGUUGCCAGAGCUCGUUACACAGGCGGUGAUGAGAAAAUAUCCACACAGCAAGGAAUUUGUCCUGAUGCCAAGGAGCUGCAAACUGCUUUCAAAAUCGACAUCAGAAGACCCCUGAAUUCCUUGUGUAGUACCCUGGGAGUGGAAGGACACGUUUCUAUGGCAACAUCAGCUUUGUCAAUCAAGCCAAAGAGGCAGGAUCUGGAGGGUGGGUCUUUCCUAUUCUCCUGGCUGGAAUUCUCACCUAGACAUUUUCUAACCAAGCAGAGAGGCAAGCAGGUGUAGGAAGUCCCACAUCUGAUGAAGCAACAGAGCGGUGUGGAAUUUGGGUCUGUCAAAAUACCAGGGCACAGCUUAUCUUCCUCAGCUCUGGGAUGCCUCUUAGAGAAACAGGUUCAUUGGGAUUUAAUUCACAUUCCAGAUAAUGCACCUGUGUAAAGUGUACAAUUGUGUGAACUUUAGUACGUUAAUGGAGUUAUGCAGCCAUCAAAGCAGCCUAAUUUUAGAACGUUUUGAUCACCCCAAAAGAAGCCCCGUGACCUCCUUUGCCCCUGCCCACUGACUUUCUAGCCCCAGGCAACCACUAAUCCACUUCCUAUCUCUCUGGAGUUCUGGAAAAUUCAUAUAAAUGGAACCAUACACUGUGUGGCCUUUUGUGACUGGCAUCUUUGACUGAGCCUAAUGUUUUCAAGGCAUAUCCCUGUCCUAGCAUGACACAGCAAUUUAUUCCUUUUUAU